ACUAGGGAGGCACAGAGAGGAAAAGCCAGAGAUACUGAAGUGGCGAUAGGAAAAGGAGAGAUCAUCUACUUCUCUUCCACUACCGUUAGAUUGUACGUCUCCUAUUCCAUUUCGUCCGCGAUGACUCGUAUUGUUUUUUUUUCCAAAACCUACGAAGCCACCGCCUGCCAACUUAAAGAGGAGCCGGAGCGCUUCAAUCUGUCCUUCAAGGAUUUAGGAUACAUCUCUACUAUUUGUUUGUUUUUUUCUUUUUAAUGAGAUGUAAAAGAAAGCACACGCCCUCGCUUUAUGAUUAUUAAGAAGUUAUUUUGAGAAAAAUUCACAUAUUGUGGAAGGAAAGAAAUGCUUGCCCUGAUGUGGAUCGCUCAGAAUAACUUCACUUUUGCCCCAAGAGGAGGUCAGCAUGCUUCUUGUGCCUAGAGAAUGUGGAGACUUCAGGCACCUUUUAAGAUUUAGAAAGUAAAAAAGAAGAAAACGCCGAUUUUUCUUACCUAAAACUCUAUAAUUAAUUCACCUGCCUUGCACAGUUAUCAACUGUCUUUACAUCCUUUCAGACCCAAGAAUGAAGGUGACAUGUGGCUGGUUAUGAAGCACAUUUUAAGAAAUCUCUCUACCCAGAGGGUAGAGAAAAAAGAGUUACAAAGAAAAAAGAAUCAUCAUGGAAUUGUUUUUCUGUCUCCAAACUGCAUUAUUUCCAUGAGAAGAGGUGAACUCCUUAUGAUAAUUCAGUUAUACUUGCCCAUCAGUACUUACUUCCUGUGUAAGUGUCCUAAUUCCAUCUGUGGGUUGGUAUUGUGUUGCACAGCCAAAUAUUCGAUAACAAAACAAACACAGUGAGAUCAUUUUAGACUUGGAUUGUAGAAGGAAGCAGCAACUAGAAUAAUAUAAAUUGAGAUUAAUUCCCUCCAUCUCUUAAAUCAGGCCAUUGUGAGAGGAAUGACAUACUGGGUUGAAGUAAGGUUAAAAAGUCAGCCAGAUAUUUAAAUCCCUAGUUUUUAAUAAAUAUUCUAUCUUUAAUUGCAUCUUGGCAUUCGUAGCAUUUCCUAAUUCUCUUACUCCUCUCUCUUUUAAUAACAUAAAACUCAUUUUAUUCUAAAGAAGGUCAGUAUUAAGACAUGGACUACCUAACAGAUACACAGUUGGGGAUGGGGGUGGGAAGAAGUCUUGUGUAGUGUGAAUGCAUGUUUAAUAUUAAAACAAAGUAUUGUAUAAUUUGUAAUGUUAGAAGAAAUGUACUAAACCUGACUAUAAAAGUUUCUAUUGAUUCACUGUCUGCUUUUUGUUGUUGUUGUUUUAACUUAUCUUGGCCCUUUCUCUUUGCUUUAUUAAAUAAAAGAAGAGGUCAUUGUGUAAUAAAUAGCCUACAAAAUUGUUCUAUUUGAAGUCAGAUAGUUCA